rnacentral:lncRNA from 1 species
GAAAGAAGGGGUGAAAAUUUGAGUUCGAGGGGUGUUUUUGAAAGAUAAAUUGAAAACAGGGGGUCAAAGUACAAAUAGAGAAAGUUUGGCCAUGUAGAACUGCCUAAUCAGCAGUCUCAACGAACUGGAGUACGCUGCCUGGCCAGGCGUGCUGACGUCGGCGCCACACAAGAGGCCACGCUGGUGAUCCGCGUGUUCCAUGAUUG